CGCCCCUUCUUCGUAUAAGGUCGCCGAGGUGCUCGAGCUCGGCAUGCGCGUCGGCGACGCCGGGGCCCUCCCUCCUCCUGACGCACUCGCCGUCGCCGCCAUGAGCGUCUCCACCUUCUCCCGCGUGCCAUGAACUUCCCUUCUCCCCCUGCUCGGGACGCCAGCAAGGUCCGGUUUCAACUCUUAUCCCCUCGAUCCGGAUGCUCUGCUCUCCGACCACAACUUUAUUUGGCUGUUCGAUUCAGUCCGGAGCAAGAGCUCGCGAUCUGCAGUUCCUUCCUUCCAUGGAUGACCACGAAGACCUCUGCGUGCUGUGCUGCUGCUCGGGACCCUCCCUAUGCUUCUCAUCGCUCGUCCGGGUCCAGGUUAGUCUCUCCGACCCCUGCUUGUCCCCGUCAAAUCGGUGCAUAGCCUCAUUUUAUUCUGCAGUCUGUAUCCUUUCAGCUUGUAUACUUUAUUCUUAUUGUGGAGAAAUUUCUUUUGUGAUGCAACUAAUGGGGACAUACAAAAAACACAUAAUGUCGAUUGCUUUGAGUAAGAAGGUAUACCCAUCUGUCUGCAGUCUGCUCUUAAUACACUCUUCCCUUGGCCAUGCACUGAUGUUUAAGUCUUUCCACUUAUCAGAUUUUAGUUCCAUUUGAAGCUUAGCAUAUUGGAAUACAUUUUCCAGUCCUUUCAGCUGUUGCAUGAGUAAAUGACAAAGUAUUAGCAUCACAACCGAAGAAUAACAGAAAAUUGUCUUAUCAAAAGAUGGUGCAGUGGGACUAAUAACUAACCAUAGUAGUGAAGUCUUUGCGGUUCAUUCCUGGGCCUACCGAGUCGAGCACCUGGAUACAUCGCUUCCCGGUAUUUAUAACUGCUAGGUACCAAUGAAACUCUUCAAUAACUGGAACGAAUAUCUGAAAAUAGGUUUUUUGUUAGUUUAGGUCCCGUGUAUACAAACAUUUGUCCUCUAUUGUAUUCAUAGUAAUAUGUACGGAACUGAGACUCACCAUAUCAUGUUCCAAAUAAGUUUUAGCUCUCUGUAAUACCCAUCUUGGUGCGUCAUCCUGUAUAGAGCUAAAUUCCUUUAUCAUCUUAGAGAUGCAUGCAUUCUCUAAGAACACACUUCCACCUGACCUCAUCUGUAGAUGCUCUCUAGCACUUAUGCAAUGUAUGUAUGCGUCUAUGAUCUACAAUAUCAAGUGCACACCUUGGUUAGGAGAUAACAGGAACUCAUGUUAAUAACAUCCUCUUAUCAUAUAAAGCUACAUAUACUUACUUCGUCGCCAACAAAUUCUCCUUCAGUUAAAAGGCGUACUAAUUGUAAUUUUUUGAGAUAUGAGUAGUUGAUGCUCACUAAUUUUUUUUUAUCGCUUGGUUCAGUCAUGAUAUUUUCAAUCACGGACCAAUCAUCGCCGGUGCAGGCAUAAUCUAUCAUGAUGUAAGUCAAAACAUUUAUUAAUAACGAAGAAAAUAAAUGUAGCAAAAGCAAGGCAUAGAAGGACUUGUCCGUGCCUUCUGGAGCCACCACAUAGUCUGGUUCCUUCUUGGGUUUGUUAUGUAGUCGGAUAGGCUUCCCUGUUUGUGGCCCUUCCAUGCCGGAAGUUUGUGCUAAAUCUUCAUCCUCAUCUGCCACCAUUUGUUCACUUGUUUCAUCAAAGGAUAAUUCCUGAAAGCCACAGUACAAAGAAUAAUUGGUAUGCAGGAUGUAACAUAAUUAGAAUUAGAACUAUUUGGGACAUAGUUGAAAAAGAGAAGAUGCCUCUGUCACUUCGGAGACUUCGGAAUCAGUGGACUGCGUGCUCUGCUUUUUCUCCACUUCUUCUGUGUUGGCUAUUCCAUUUGAUUCUGCCAGAGUGUCCCCUAUAGUUUCCGCCCCUUCGUUGCCCAAUGUUUGUGGUAAUUCCCCAUCCUGAGCUAGCCCCGUUCAUUCACUUGUUUCGUCGAAGUUUAGUUCCUGAGAGCAACAUUACAAAGAAUAUUUUGUAUGCAGGAUAUAAUAUAAUUAGAAUUCGAACUAUUUGAGACAUAGUUGGAAAAGAAAAUAUGCCUCUAUCACCUCGGAACCAGUGACCCGCGUGCUUUUCUUUUUCUCCACUUCUCCUUUGUCGGCCAUUUCAUUUGAUUCUGCCAGCUUCUCCCCUAUAGGUUCUGCCUCUUUGGUGUUGAAUGUUUGUGCUAAUUUAUCGCCUUGAGGUGGCUGCAUUGUUCGCUUGUCUCCUUGAAGUUUAUUCCUGAGAGCAAUAUUACAAAGAAUAAUUCCAUAUUGCGCGCGAGGCGUAUCUUCCGGGUCUUCUCCCACAGAUAGGAUCUCAGAAGUGUAGCAUCCGUGAUCUGUGCUCUUGUCCCACGUGUCACAAUGGGAAGGACCUGCCUGAAAUCCCCACCAAAGACGACAACCUUUCCCCCAAAUGGCAAAGAACAGUCCAUUAUGUCCUGCAGGGAUCUAUCAAGCGUCUCAACUACUUGACGUUUUUUCAUAGCGACCUCAUCCCAAAUUAUCAAGGACGCUUGUUUAAGCAACUCCGCUGUACCACUCUCCUUUGUGAAACUACACAUGCUGUUGUCAGUGAGUUUGAUUGGAAUUUUGAACCUGGAGUGCGCAGUCCGUCCUCCGGGCAUUAUCGACGCCGCUAUACCUGAUGUAGCAGUUGCGAUCGCUAUCUGGCCCAUCGAACGCACCUUUGCAAGCAAUGCCUUGUACAAGUAUGUCUUCCCAGUGCCUCCUGGACCAUCAACAAAGAAUAUCUGGCUUUUUUGUUUCAUCACAUGAUCCAUUAUCUCAUUGAAACCAGCCGGCUGCUCAUUGUUCAAACUGCUAAAUAAAUCUAUGUGUUCUUUGUCCACGCUGAUUUGACUCUCCUCUGUUACCUCUUUGUACUCACCGUCAUAAGAACCAUCGUUCUCAAGUAAAUCCGGAAGUCCAUAGCUUGUAAUAUCUUUUCCCAUGGAUUGCAACAUAUCCCUGAUAUCUCUGAGGACCAUCUGCUCAAGUGUUGCCUCAUUGGAUUGAUUACGACGGUAAUCCUCAGACAUUGAUGCCAGGUGUUUGUCCCACAACUGCCGGAUUUCUGUUGCCUCGCAAAACAUGAGUAUAGCUGCAAAUAACCGUCUUAGGGCAGAAGGCAUCUGAAAUGUGGCUGUCUCCGUCAUGCAGUCAUCAAGAGUCCUGUCGUGCUCAAUGAGGCCUAAGUGCUCACAUGCCUCCCUGACGGAACUGCACGGCUUGCCAUUUACUGUUUUUAAAUCAUCGAAUGAAGUGGCACCUCAGACAUGACUUAGGAGCACACGCAAGUAGUAUCUCUCUCCUUCAGCAGGGUGUGCAUGCACAAGUCUUCCAAUCUGUGAUCUUUUAUUUCUUCUAUUCCGCCACCUCUUAUUUCCAGGUAUCCAUCUAUAAUGUUCUGGAAACUCUCUGUACAACCAUUUUCGUGCUGUUGGAAACUUCCGGUUCAUCUCAAAGUAUUCUGUAAGCAUGGACUUGGAAGAAGAUGGUCGAGCUACAACAUUUGCAAGAUUUUCACAUGCUUUAAAUGCAAUUGUAUGCAUAUUUGGCAAAUGAAGCUGGAGUUGUAGCACAGAUGGACUGACACCAAACAUUUUAAAACCAAAAAUCCUGUAAAUAGCCUCUGAAGGAGAUACAUAGCGUGCAUCCCUAUAUUGUCGGAUUUCAUUGAUGAUUCCACCAUCAUUGAUGAUAUCCUGCUCGAAUGCAAAGGAUGUACGAUCAUGCCCUUUAUAGAUGUACUUGAACAAGUACUUGACUGCCUUGAUGCUCGAGCAUGCUUCGACAUUAAUGUGGCAGUUGUAUCGCAUAAGUAGUGAAGGGUUGUAAGGGACCACCCACCUAUUGUCCAAAUCUGCUCCUCUGAUCCUAAUUCGACGCCCAUCGUCCCUCCGCCUAUAGAUGGGAUAUGAGUCUUUCCCUUGUUGUGUGGCAUCACAAAAAUCUCGCGGGUAAUGAAACCGACACUGCCCAUCAAUCAUGCAAGGGAAACUUUUUUCAACUCGCCACAUGGUCCAUGCAGCAUGUGUUUGACGACCAGAUCAUGUAGAAUGGGGUGUUUCUCUUUGUCCGGUAUCUUUGCACAUAUCACUCGAUCAUAGUCAUCUGGUGUCGCUAACUUGCUUUUUGCCUUCAUGAUUAGAAGUAUAUGCUCAUGAGGGAGACCUCGCUUCUGAAACUCAGUUACAUGUACAUAGGCUGCGACUUCUCCGAAAUGCUUACCCUUAGUUAGUAAGUCCAUCAUAUCUCGCUGUUUAGCCUUGUAUACUCUUGCCACCAGGUCUGGACGGUCCUGUGGCAGUUGUCCAGGCAACAGUUUCUCGGUUAUCUCCUCCCAAUAGGGGUUGCAAGUCAUGGUGAUAAAAUAAUCCGGUUUACCCCACCGCUGCACUAUUGCCAUAGCAUCCAAGAACCUCCGCUGCAUGUCGCGAUCACCACCAGGAAAUGUACGUGGAAGCACAAUUCUUUUGCCAAUUCGAUCUCCGCGUGACUCGCCGACAACGACGGUGUCAACAUUUCUUUUGCAUUAUGAUGUAUUAGAAUAAACACAAGCACACUACCUAGUAGAGGUCAGCGCGUAUAACCUUCUGAUUUUCCGGCUUUGAGUACCAAUCAAGCCGCAUAGUCUCAAUCUUGAUAUACAUGUCAACAGCCCACUGUUGGAAAAGGCGCCCCCCGAACAAGACGAUGUUAAAAAGCUUCCUCCUGACUUGCAGCUUGAAACAGUAGUACUCCCUUGCACUAACAAAUUUUCUGGAUUGUGUUGCAUUGACCUCAUUGUCACCAAAAUCGUCAUCUGGGUUAUCCUCAUUGUCAUCUACAAGAUUGAGAACAUCAAUAUCAAUAUGGUGGGUGGACUUGUAAUGAUCGACAACAUUCAUAAUGAUCGACAACAUAAUAUUUGAAGAAUAAGCAAUGAUGAUUAAUACCCGAAGGUAAAUCAGUGCCAUGGGCUUCAUGCGGUGUAAAAUUCCCAUCUUGUUCUCUUUCCCUAAUGAAGUUCCCAUCUGAUAGAUAUGACAGAUGUAGAUGAAAACACAAGUUUUGACCAAGCCCCUGAAAAAUAGAAAGUAUAUAAAUUAAUAGUUCACAUCAUACCUGUAUAUAAUUCAGGGGCUUGGUUUCCUUGUGGUGCAGGAUUAUCGGCUUCAUGCGCUGCAAAAUCACCAUCUUCUUCUCUUUCUCUAAUCAAGUCUUCAACUGAUACAUAAAAGCUCUCAUCAUCAUUCACAAAUAGCUUGUAUAUAAAAUAACAGUGAACAUCAUACCUAUGUGUAAAUCAGAGGCUUGGUUUCCUUGCAGUGCAGACAUAUGUACUGAAUUUUGGGUCAUGUCAUCUGGGGCCCAAAUAUAUGGCAUGCAACGAUUCCAGCCAGUCUCUCCACGUGGGAAGAAUAGUGGAUAUGACAAUGGGCCGUAGCACCCAUAGUAUGCUCUAAUAUACAGGGGCCGGUUUCUUGUUUUUCCAUGCACAACAACACCCCUGUCAAAGCAAUUUUGUGGGUCACUCCCUUCAACGCAUAUGGCUGCCAUUUGGGAACUCGUUGGGGGCAUUGUACCUUCGUUGAUCCAGCUUGAUAUCUGUGUUUAGCGAGAUUCUAUACUCAUGUAGAUUCGGAACAGACCCAAGGCUCUUCAAAACUUGCGCAUGAGGGUUACGCUGUAUUAUUCUCAGAAUAUGCCGUAUGAGGUCUAUAUUAAGAUCUGGAGACCUAUUAGCCCUGUGAACCAAGUUUUGAUCUGUAUCAUAAAUAUAGAGUUGCAAAUGCCGAGGGCCAUUAUCAGUCGACACCAGAUUGUCAAGAGCGUGGUACAGCCCACCACACGCACGAAAUGUAUAUAUGCCAGUUCCUACCGCAGUGCUUACUCGGCGAUCAAGGGUGACGCCUAGACUUGUGAAUGAGAAGUGCGAGUUGAAAUACCAUAUAUGUUCUCUGAAAUACUUAGCGUCCUCAUCAUCUUGACUUGUAAACAACCGUUUCAACUCUUCUGGAACAUCUGGAGUAAACAAAUCGACUUUUCCUUUUCUGCAACAAAAUGCUGGCCCCUCGAAUGGAAACCGCAACGCCCCACAGUGGCGACAGUCCGCAACAUUUCUUAGGACAUGGUGCUUUGUAGGUAGGUUUCGGUAUAUGAAGUCAUCAGUAUUUGCUACGGGCACUGCUCGUGUAGCAUGGUGUCCAAUUUGGUACGAUUCAAAAGCAACAUCUAGCACAGGACAACACAUGUAUUAUCAGUAAAUACUACUAAUAUGUGCAUUUUAGAUUUCUAAAUUAGAAAAUAGCAAUGCACAUACCCUGAUCCAUAAAAAUUCUAGCUUCUUCAUCAGGCUCAUGGUAUGCAGCUUCUCCAUUAUGCAAUGGCUCCAAGCAGUCUAGUAGGGAAUAUAUUGGUCAUACAGAAAUGAUUCUAAAUUAUGUACGAUGACCUUUAUGUGUGUAUGAUAGUAUAUACAAAAUACCUUGUAAAUUGUUUUGUUCAACAACAGGCUCAAAAAUUCCAUAUGGAUCAUCUUUCUGGUCAUUGCCCACUAUGAAAAAUCAUAAGAUCAGUUGAGCAUGAGCAUGCUGGAUCGUCAAAAUCCCAUAUCAGAUUAUUAGUGUUUUGAGUACCUAGUGGAGCCGGUUGCGCAGGCCCGCUCGUAUCAUAUUCUGGCGUAUUUUCAAGUUGGUUGGAUCCCCUAAAAGGGUGUAUACCUGAAGAAACAAUCGAAAAUCAGGGAUUUAUUAUCAAAUAUACAUUGUCGGCACCCCAACAACAUAACUAUACUGACGAACUAACCAGCAUGCUCAGUUGUGCAAUCUGGAUCACGUAUUAUGCUCAGUUGUGGUACCUCAACUCCUGAAAUUUGGGUGGGAGGUCCUGCAUGUACAAUUAAUUUUCGUACAGAAGAUGAUUACAAUCAGAAUGGUGGCUGGACCGGAAGGCAAAGCCAGUUAAAUAUACCUCGGGCAAUAUCUCUGAGGGGGCUUUGCAUUUUCUGUACUCGAGUCACAACAAUAGCUCGUUUUGAGCUUCCAGCUAUUAGUUGCCUCUGAUACGCAUCAUUCUUGUGCAACCAAUUGGAUUCAUCCUCGCAUGUUAAAUAAUUUUCCUUGUCGUGAGGGAUUUGUUCAUGAGAUGAACUUAGUAUAUUUGACAAGCCUGCCACAAAAUUUCAGCAGCACAUGAGUACCCAUUUUUUUGGCAUAUUAGAUGAGGUAAGAAUAUGCAAUCAAUAUUUUAUGGUACACCCCAACCUGUCAACUUUUGUAGUUGGGUGACACCGGAUUGUCCUGUAGGUGGUGUGUGUGACACAGUGUUAUCAUCGUUGAGGCCAGUAGUAAUCUUUCUCUUUUCACGGGAUAGGCGUUGUCAUUUUAAUAUCUCAUCCAUGUUUUGUGCAUACCGCUCCCUGUCCCUUUGCCUCCUCAACUCCUUAGGGUCUGCAUAUAUGUGUAAUAAAGUUAAUUAGUAUGAACACAUAGGGCUGUAUAUAAUUUGUUGAUCACCAUUACCUCCGUACAUGGGCACCGGUGUUUGUGUUUCAUUUUCUUGCUCAUUGACAUCGGCAACCACAACGGUCAUUUCUAUAUCACUGUAGUCUUGAUGUUGUCUCUUGAAGACACCAUCCAUGCUCUGUGAAUACUGUUCCCCAACCAGUUGGCUCUGCAUUUCGUUAGGAUCCACAUCUAUGACAUAUUGUUGUUAGUUUGGUCCAUGCAUGUCAUCAGUCUUGUGAACAAUACACAAGAAUGCUGUAUAAGGGCAAUUUUACCUCGGGACAUGGCCAGGGGUGUAUGAGGUACAUUUUGAUCGACAUUAAGCAAUGUAGUUGAAGCCUGUUUCUUCUCACGGGCCUCACGUCGUCUUUUAAGGAUAUCAUCUUUAUUGCGUGCAUAAUACUCUCUGUUCCUCUGCCUCUUCAAUUCUUUGGGGUCUGCAUAAGUACAUACCGUAAGUUAGGAUAUAAGCACCAACAAAUACAGUAUCACAAUUUAGGAAAAGGCUGACGACAAUUACCCAAUAAUCGGUUGUUACUUAGAUCCUGAAAUGGGGUGCGCGCUCCCGCACUUUUGGGAGAUGACAUACCCUUGGCCUUCAUGUGAAUAUUCAUGUCAUUAAAAAUUGGGAAGUUGAUAAUGUGCUCCAUCAGAGCUGUAUUUACAUUAUUAAUAGGAAGUUGUAAUGACAGGUCCCCUUGCAGGACCAGACUCUGUGGUUGGCCCUGAUGUUGACGUCCACGCAGCCAGAAGGCAGAAGAUGAUAUUGGCUCUGCUGUUGAGCCGCAAACAUAGAAUGUUGCUUUGACAUGUACAUAAUUUGUGAUUUAUUGGUGGGGAAAUGAACUUCUAUUAUUUAUCCCGACGUAUCUGCUUGGGACAAUGAAGUUAUAUUCUUUAUCCUCACGUAACUUUAGAUGUUAUCUAAAAUAUGAAUGGCAAUUUUAGUUGACACCAGGUCUAGGAGAUAGGAUGCAUGUAUCAAUUAGGUUGGAAAUCACAGUAGGCAAAAGACUAACCAUUAGCUACAGAUGUAAAACAAACGGCUUGUAGUAUUGUGAUGUGCACAUGUUUAUAUUUUAGAACUAUAUUCUGAAAAUUAUAAUUCCGAGUAAUGCUGCAACAGGUCAAAGGAAGAAGUUGAGACUAAAGUAGAGGGAAGAAUUACAGCUGCGUGUAUCUGGCUGGCUGCUGGGAUGGGCAGGGCGGGCUCCUAGCAGUGGGGAUCUCGCGUAGGGAUGCCACGCUGCGAGGGCAGGGUCCUGGGCGUUCCGUGGUCUGGAGCCCUGGACUCCCUGCCCUGGCGACCUCGCGGAAGGAUGCAACACUGCUCGCGGACGGACUCCACGUUGCUCGGCAACAAUGGCGAUGGUGCGACGUUACAGUGCAGUGCCGCGAGGUCGGCGUGCAGGCAGGAUGCGGCGGUGGUGGCCAGAGUGGAGGUUAAGGGCGAUGGGAGCCAAAUUAAUUUAGUUUCCUUAUUUUCCCAGGAGAACGGCGUGAUUGUAGGGGAUGGACGCGGGGCUGGUGGAGGUGGAGCACGGUCAGUCAAGGGUAUUUGCUAAGUCCACACCGUAGAGGCAGUAGAUCAAUGAUGGCUGUUAGAGAUGUGCGGGUAUAAUUGUGUGGUGCUGAUUGUUCCGUGUGUUUUGUGGGACAAAUUGUUGGGUGUACUUAACGAAGUUCUUGUUUGCUUGUUUAUUAGUAGUAGAGAUAGAGAUAGAGAUUCCUGCAUACGUAUUCAUAUAUCUACGAGGGGAGGAAGGGGCGGCCCCGUCGGGCUCCGGCGCCGUCCCGCCAGAUCUUUGCAACCUGGACAUGUAGUUCUGGAGCCGUCCAAUUCGACGGCGUGCUCAACGUGUUUGAGGAAAUGAAGGCCGUUGGCGUCAAGCCAAACCCCGUCGUUAUUAAGUGUAGUUAUUAACUCCUAAUUAUAUGCAUGUAUGCAAUCAAACACCGGAUGAAAAUUGCUUCACGAUGACAAGACCUCAUAUACAGGCAACCAAACUAGUGGAGAAUGUUGUUUUUUGUCUCGUUUUUUCUCCUUUUUUCCUCGCAGCCAGGCCCUGCAAAGAAACUAAGAAAGUAAUCAGACGCAUCCCUGACUUUA
rnacentral:lncRNA from 1 species